GAAGAUUGGUCAAGGUGAUUCUAGUUUAAAGUUGUUAGAAGGUAAAUGAGUAAUGAUUGGCAUUAAAAAAUUGUCUCGUAUAUAUCAUCCAAAUGAUUUAUGGCAUUAGAUACGUCUUAUUCAUAUAAAUACCUUUUAGUUUUUUAUUUUUUGACAUAUGGUGCAGAUCACAAAGAUUCUGGCUUUUAGUCCUGAUGGUCAGUUGCCUUCUCCUGAAAGCAUUGAUGGGCAUAUAAGAGUCGGACACAACUUCAGGUAGUCUGAAGGGAAAAUUUGAAGGUCCUAAAAGGGAAAUAAAUACAAGUGAAACAUUUCCUUAUGCCUAAGAAAUUCAUCUUUGCAUGACAAUUUGAGAUCCAGUGGAUCUGAUAGCAUCUAAGAAGACAUCUGGUGCAGAGUAUCCUGUUGUUUUGAUGUGGAAUGAUGACAUCCGAGAGGACACGAGAUAAUGGUUUAUGAGAGGAUAUAGAUAUGUACUCUAUGAUGUUUAGGGAUUUGAAAUAUGGAAGAUUAUUGAAAUUAGAAUAAGAUUAGCUUUUUGAAUCAAGUGGUGUAAUUUUUUUCAUAUUAUGAUUAUGAAUGAAUUGUUACUUUUUUGUUUAUUGUGAUUUUAAUGAAGGACGUC
rnacentral:lncRNA from 1 species